UGCUGAGACUGACACGGUCCUCCAGGCUCUGCUGUGUACUACAGAUAGGAAGAUCUGAAAUCAGCCUUGUUGGGUCAGAUGACCGAGAUGAAAUGGGAAGAGAGGGUGCAAUGCAUCAUCUUACUCCUCCUGCGGGUGACCUCACCCACGGUGACCCUGGGAGGGUGGAUUCCCACCGGCCCUGGUGUCCAAAAGUACCAGGGCGUAGUGUCCUGCUCACCCUGCCCUCCCACACUCCAGUGACCUGCAGUGGCCCCGAGGCAAUGCCCACAUGGAUCUGUGCUAGGUCCCUUCUCCAAGGCACCCUUUCCCGGUCCCUUCUGAGCUCCCCACCCUUGUCCUUCUCCUGGGACUGGAAGCUGGGGAGGCCCUGCAGGUGUCCUCAAGCUAGGGUGACCUCUCCCUCCAUCCAUCCGCACCUGGAGCUGCCUGGGGCUCGGAAGUGCUUUUGUGCAAUGGGGCUCAAGCCCACUUCACGGGCUGAUUUCCUGAGUGCUUGAGAAGAUCAAAGCGGAUCGGUGGAAGAAAGGGGGGUGAAGCCUGGGAAAGCCCAGGUGGGGAGGUUGCUCCCCGGCUCCUCUCGUCCCGAUGGCUUCUGUUCCCGAUGCUACAGGACUCAGGCGGCACAAUGAAUUGAGCUGUGAAUGUUUACCCAAGGAGCAUUUAUUAUUGUUUUUUAGAUGGGGCAGAUUCUCCUGCCUCAGUCUCCUGAGUGCUGUGACCACAAGCAUCAUGCUACCAAACCCAGCCCAGGGACCAUUGAUCGAGGUUCUAUUUUAAGUUCCAGGAUUAACAGCCACCAAUGACCAGGAAUAACCCUUCCUUAACCCUGCAUCGAGUUGGAGAGAACUUGAAGGCUACUGGAGGAGAGACCAUUACGUAACCAGACUGGUGACACAGAGGCAGAAGCUGCUCACAUGGUGUCAUGGGUUGGGGCCCCGAAGCUUCCUAAAGGCCAGCUGUGGAGCAGGCGGGUGACACUCAGCGGGUGUCUGUGACUGCUGUGCGUGUGAUAGGCUGAAAAGGGGGAGAGAUAUAGCUGUGACCGCGAGUGGAGACAGAAAGGGCAGCGGCCUCUGGGGAUACCCAGCUCCUCAACGCUGCGCACCAUGUGUGGUGCCCAAGGCGACACCCCAUUCCAUCUUUACGACUCCCUGAGGGUCCGAGUGACUCAGCCAGGAUGUGGCAGCAUUGAACCAUCGUGUCUGAGCUCCCUGGACUGAUCACGGUGGCCUCUGGCCACCCGGCCCAGUCCUGAAUGGCCCUUUCUUCCCAGAGACACCAGGAGGAAGAAGCAGGUACCUACUUCCCACAAGGACCAUGAGCAUUACUACUGCAAAUGUGACUGCUAAAUACAAAAAAAGAUGAAGACAAAAGAACUUCACCCACUGGGGUUCCUUCAGGUAACUCACGAGGACGCGCUUUGUGGUAGAUGCAAAUGUGGUAAAUCGGUUACUGACGGUUGGAUUGAGGGGAAAUUUUGACCUUAUCCACUAACUCAACAAAUGCUUCCACUUCAAUUUCAGAAUGAUUGUUCUGGUUUCUAUGGUAACAACAUGCAACAGGAGGUGCAGGCUGAGGCAGGAGAGUGUCCUUGGCUGGCAUCUCUCCUGUGUCAAGGGCCUGUGCCCUGCUCAUUGUUAAUGUCCUGUUAGUGGGCACUGGAUGGAUACCCAAGGACACUUUUGUAGACACCAGGAAUGAAUCCAUGAAUGGAUAGUAUCAGCCUCGGCCAGGAAUGAAGUGGCCCUGCUCUGUCUUCCUGGGCCGGAGCUUCCCUCAGACCCUGAAUGGGAGGAGAACCACACUCCGCAUCCAUUGACUGUGUCCCCCUGGGCCAUUCAGCUGGGGUCCGAGUCCCUCACCGUGGGUCUGUUCUCAUGGUGCCCAGGCGUGGGGGUUACAGCUCUGGGCCAUGGUAGGAAUUUCAGAUCAGCUCAAGGUCAUGUGCUGGGGCAGGGAAGUAGAGCCAGGCAUGGAGAUGCAUGCUUAGAAUCCCAGCUUUCUAGGAGGCUGACGCAGGAAGAUUGCAAGUUCAAUCCUAGCCUGGGCAACUUAGUGACUUUGGGGACCCCGUCUCAAAAUAAAUAAUUUAAAAUGAACUGGGGCUGGAGCUCAGGACAAAGCAUGGUAGUUUGGUUCUGACUCUGACCUUCACUCAAAACCUGACCUUGCCCAUGGAUUUACCUGUCUGGGCCUUUCUUAUUUAUAAACUAAUAUGGGGCGGUGUGAGCCUUCAGUACUCGGGAGGCUGAGGCAGGAGAGUCACCAUGAAUUCAAGGCCAACCUGGGCUACACAGCGAGACUCUAUCAAAAAAACAACCCAAAAAUGAUGCAAAUAAGCUGCUUCAUUAGUUAGAAAGAACUCAUGGAAGCAAAGAACCACUCGCAGCUCGCACUGUCUACUCACACCUCAGUUUAGGACGGAAGAGCAACGCACCGCGGAGACCCGCACUGUGCGGAUGUGAAACGUGUCCGCCCAAUUGCCGUCCAGAUUAAUGGAAGAAUUUAGAAAGCCAGGUUUUGUCCGUGUAAAAUAGAACAGCAGCUUUAAGAAGGUAUCUGACUAGGAGCUUUCCUCAGCUCGCUUUAAGGCCAUCUCACUCACUGUUCCACAGCAGGGUUGUGUAUUAGAACAGCCCGAGAAACUUUAAAAAGACUCUGGUGGUGAGAUUGCCUCUCAGGUGCUUCCCUGCAUCCUCAGGGCUGGGACCCGGGCCUCGAUGGCUCGUAAACAUCCCUAGCUGAGUGCAGUGCACAGCCACUAGCAUCUUUACCUGGGCUGCGAUGCUCGUGGAGACCUGGACAGCGCGAGUUACUGGAGGAGACUGGUCCCAACAUGGCAGCAAUUUAAAAAUGGAUCCUUUGGAAAAAUUCCUUCAGUUAAUAAUUUAAAAGCUUAGGUAUAGUAAGAGCGAAAACUAUACUGCAAGUCCAUUGUGUCGUUCUGAAUUCUCUUUUGUUUGUUUUCGAGACAGGGUCUCUCUUUGCAAUUUGGGCUGGACUCAGACUCUCAUUGAUCCUCCUGCCUCAGCCUCCCGAGUGCUGGGAUUGCAGGUGUGCACCACCAUGCUUUGAAUUCUUUACUAAGAAAAGCUAUCCUCUCACAUGGAAUUUAGUGGUUUCUUCUCGCCCUAACCUAGCUAUUCCUGAGCUCAGUAAAGCAAUAGAGGAUGGAAGGAGGUGCGACCUGCAGGCUGGAAGCUGGGCUGGGAUAGCACAGGUGCAGCUGGACCCGCUCUUUUCCUGCCCACCCCUGAGAAUUCAGUUCUUUCUCAGCAGAAAGGAAUUCAUAAAUCCCUGCCCUGCCUUCCCACCAGCAGUGUGACCUCACCAGGGUGAUAAAUUGCUGUUAUCAAAACAGACCCUGUGCCUCCCAGGCAGUGAAAGGUCUAAAGGCAAAGUGUGAAGUCUACGUGCUGAUGAGCACAGCCAGGGUGAAAAGUCCAGCUCUUGGGACCUCAGAUCUUAGGGGAGGGGAUUCUUCAAACCUUUCUGACUGUGCAGAGGUGCAGAAGUGCAGAUGAAAGGGUGACAGCGUGACACCAUCAAGAGCAAACGCCUAAUAAUGGUAACCAUUUUUGAUCACCUGGUACUCUGUUUUUGCAUCAUGUACUGUGUCCAUCCUUCUGUUCUAACUGACUCUGUUUUGCUGUGUCACAUUUGGUUUUUUUCUCUUCAAAAAAAAAAAAAAAGCUGUAAGAACUGUGGGAGUAAUAAAACCCCAAAAGUAUAAUUGUUAUUGUAAAAAGAGAGGAAAAGAAAGUGAUCUAAAGGAUAUAACCGCAUGUAUAUUUAAGUGUGUAGGAUAGAAAACCAUAUUACUGAGUUUUUGUUGUAUCAUUGAACAGAACCGUCUGCAAUCUCACUGUAUGAACGUCCACUUUGUAUGCUUUAACAUUGUAAUUUGGACAACUGUUUCUAAGAUGACAAUAUGUAAUCUAUUAACUAGUGAUUUCUUACUGUAUAUUUUUUUCUUGAAAUUCUGUAUUACUUGUAUCCUUUUACUGCUUUGUUUUUCUUUCUUUCUUUCUCUCUUUAAAUUAAAAAAAAAAAAAAAAGAGCAAACACCUAGGGUGAGGUGGCCCUGCAGGCGUUUGCAGCAGAGGCAGAAGUGUGCUUAUCUUUCAGUCUCUCUGGUGCAGCGGCCACACCGGAGGGUGGGGAAGUCAGCCCAGCCGUCUGAGAGGUGAUUUCCUCCCUGGCCUGGAGCCCUCCCAGCAGACACAACCUUGUCCCUUGCCGAAACCCAAGGUCCUGGCGAAAUACAGUGUUCUGUAGGUUUAUUUACUUACUCUUUUAUUUAUUUUUUUGGUCUUUGAGACAGGGCCUGGCUAUGCAGUGUUGGCCUCGAACUUGCAGCAAUCCUCCUGCUUCAGCCUCCCCAGUGCUGGUUUACAGCGUGCACUGCCACACCCUCCUGAAACUGGUGCUCCUUCUGCAGAUGAGGAAUUGGCUCGCAGUGCUUAGGUGACCGGCUGAAAGGCAGGUCACAUCCUCCUCAUGACCCUCCCAGCCGAGGUGGCCACAUGGCCAGGGUGGCAAUGAUCCUGGCUCUUGUCUGAUCUUGCAGUCCUUCAAAUGACCUUCCGGCCGUUUCUAGUACCUGGACGAAAACCCUUGCGGCUAAGAAUGUGCGUGUGUUUCAGUCUCGAUUUUCUUUAGAUUACAUCCUCAGCGGUAGAAUCACCGGGUCACAGGCUGUAUUCGCUUUUGCAGCUGUGCUAUUCAGAAGGAGAGCAGGGGACCAAAGGAGGCAGACGUGCCGAGAAAGUGAGUCACCCAAAGACAGGCAGGGCUCUUCCCGGAGCAGCGGGCCUGCUCCGGGAGCCCAGGGACACUCGGCUUGUGCACUGCGUGGCUGUGCCGUGCAGAGCUGCCGAUGCUAAACACUGGUUUUUCACUUCCCUUGAGUGAAAAAAAAAAUGUGCGUGCCUUGAUUGUCUCCUUCUGCUGAGCCAGUGCCAAAUUUUUCUAUGUGAAAAAAAUGUCAGCUGAAAUUCCGGUGCCGCCGAGGAAGGAGACCUUUAUUCCUCCACCUGCACAUUACGACGCUAAUAAACACGUUAUCAGCUCGUAAGGGUGAUGGCAAACAGGUGACUGAAGGACUCGGCAAGUCAGCAGUGAAGACGAACAGCUCUGCGCAGGGAAAGCCGUGCGGGCCCCACUUAAAACAAUCGCGGCAGGCGAAUUUGCAGCACUUAAAUCAUUUUCAGCAAUUAGUCCGCCUCAGAAAGGGUGCAGCUGGCUUCAAUUACAGCUCCCCUUCACCAACCCCUUCUGCCAUCUUGUUCCUGCCUUGGAGCAGCUGACCAUGAACUGAGCACUCUGAAGCCACAAGCCAAACGAAACCUCUCCUUUCAUCUGUAGGUUUUGUUCUGGCAACGAGAAAGUAACUAAGGCAAGAAGGCAGGGUGGCUACUGGAAGGCCUGGCUGUUACCACAUCUGGUCAGAAGCUGCUGAGUCACUGUGCUUAGACAGGAGAUGUACGGAGAGAAUCGUGUGCAUCUGGCCGCCCGCCUUUAGAUUUCUCCACCCAGUAGAAGCUUCUGGGCUUGGCCGGCGGACGUGCAGUUGGAAAGCUUUGGCUGGAGGUCCCGUAGGGGAAAAUCAGUACAGGUUUGCUUGUGUUCCUCUGUGCUCCUUGUCAGUGGCAAGUUUGGAUCCCUUUUGCACACCUGGUGCUGAUGGCAAUGGAAGAGGAAAGCAGGAAUUGAUUUGCUGAUGUGCAGCCUCAAAGUUGGAGCAGAUUUCAGGCUGGCCUCAAAUUCAUGGUGAUCCUCCUACUUCAGCCUCCGGAAUGCCAGGAUGGCAGGCAUGGACCACCACACCUGGCCAGCAGAGCACCCCAGAAUUCCUCUGAAUGAAAAGUAAGAGGCAUGGCCACCAGCAGCCCCCUGUGAACACAGAGGUUAAAGGUUAAGGACCUGCCUGAAGACUCCGUUCUGCCUUCCCCAGAUGGACAGCAUGGACUUGAGAUUUUCGUCUUCAACCUGAGAAGAAAGAGGGAUAUAAUUCAUCUCAAGACCAGGAAGAUCCCAGCACUCUUGGAGGCUGAGGCAGGAGGGUGGCAAGUUCGAGCCCAGGCUGGGCAACUUAGCAAGACCUUGUGUCAAAAUGAUGAUGAUAAUAAUAAUGAAGGAGGUAUAUAACUGGGCUGAAUCCCUAGUACUGCAAGAAACAAACCAAACCAAACCUGGGAAGAAAGCUGUGAGCAAAACUAUUUUCUUACUGUCUAUCUCCCUGCUAAUGUUUUUCUUUAACCAACUUAUAUUUUAAAGAGCUCGAAUCAAAAAGAAGACAAACAAAGAUCAAUAAAACCAAUGGACAGAAAACUCAUGAUUCAGUUCAUCAAGGGAGGCGGGCUAAACUGUCCUGCCUGAGUUCAGUGGCUGAGGAUGGCAAGGCCUUGUUUCCCACAAUGCUUCACUGCUGUGACCUCCUGAUACUCAUUGUGCGGACAGCCGAUUUGGUCAAAAGUAACUUUUUUCUUUCUCAUUAUCAAAAUGACCAGGGGCCCUUAGAGAGAACUGGAAAAGCUGGAUCACAAGGGAACAACAGUCACUCCCGCUUCUGGCAUUCAGCCACGCAUGACCCUUGCCUUUGAGCUCUUCUCCGUGUGUUUCUGUGCGUGUGUCAGGGUGAGACCAUCAUGGAGUGCACACACCAGGACUGCAGUGGCAGCACAGCUGGCUGCCUCCUGACGUCACAAUGCCUCACAGGACCCUCCAUGCUCACGUGCUCUGGGCCCUGUCCGAGCUGGGCGGUAUCACAGGAUUUGGAGUCCCUGUGAGAAGAGUCCUCUGCUUUCAGUCUCCCAAUCGGAAGGACCGGGAGCUUAACAGGGCUGGUGGUGACAGCCUGGAGCAGGUGAGCAGAGCAGAGCGAGGAGGUGAUGCCAGCUUCCAGCUUCUCCCAUCAGGCACCGGUGCUGCCUGACUCUUACCGGGGCCACUGGCCAGGCCCCUUCGCUUCCUGUCCCGUUCUAUCACUGUGGCUUGGUUUGGACUUAGAUGACUCAUGGCUCCCAAAGGCACCAGGCUUCUCCCAGUCGAUUUGGCCAUGCCAUGCUUUCCCUUCCCUCCAACCCUUGACUGCUCCCCACGGAUGCAGCUGUCACCACGGGAACCCCAGGCCCUGUCCAUCAGGUACUCUGUGACUUGGGAAAAGAUUAGCUCCUCAGAGCCUCCCUGGGCUGUUGUCAGCAGAGCAAGGAUUUUCUGUGAAGGAUGUAGGACACUGGCCUGGGGGAGACACUUGAGAUGACAGGUGGACCAGGCAUGGCGCCCACAUUUCCUCCACUGGACACACUUCCUUCUUCAUCUUCACCGUGGGCUAGAGCUGGGUGAGGUGUGGCUUAUAUCUUCUCAGGCUACCACUGCCACUGGGCUACUGAAGGACUGAGCUCAAAGCUGGGUCCCGGGCUCCAGGAUUUAGAUCCUGGAUGGGACCCAUUGUAAGCCUGCGAAAUCAGUGCUGACCAAUCUGGUGGGCACUCAGGAGCUUUCUCAAACAAGAUGGGUUAAAUCAAACAACAUUGAUAGUGUGCUUUUUAUGUUCUAUUAAUUUAUUUGCAUUGGUGCUGGGUUUUCAUUUUUUGAAAAAAAUGAAAGUUUAGUAUCAGGAAGAAAUAGGUGAAUAUAGAAGUUGCCAUUUCAUUACUUAGCACAAAGUGGUUUUCCUGGAAUACUUUGUUCUUUGGGCAGGGGGGACUGAGACCUUCAAAUAGCACAGGUAGGCCGGCCUGGUGGUGCUUGUUUAUAAUCCCAGCUCUCUGGGAGGCUGAGGCAGGAGGGUUCAAGUUCAAGCCCAACCUGGGCAAAUUAGUGGUUUAGCAAGACCCUGUCUCAAAAUGAAAAAUUAAAAAAGGGGUGGAGAUGUAACUCAGUGUGAAGACCCUGGGUUCAAUCCCCAGCACCACAAACAAACAAAUGAAGGGACAUAGGUCUUUGAGAGCCAACGCGAAGGACCUGGGGGCCUCUUUCUGGUGCUGCUGUUUGUGUGCAGGAGGCAGCGAGGCCUGGCUCAUCCUGCCAUGUGGGCCGUGUGCAGUGUGUUCUGCAGCCCUGCUCCCCGCUGGCGCCAGGCUGCAGCUGGGGUGUUCGGGUGACCUUCCUCCCACACCACCCCUUCGGGGUGACAGCCCGGGGGCUCAGGCCGCCCCCUCCCUUUGCGCUUUCCCAUAGGUGCUGCCGGUCUGCCAACUGUGGGGCUGCCUUGACGAGAAGCCAGCUUGCAUCGAGUGCUUGUGACAGAUUUCUUAAUUAAUCGCUCAGAUUGUCAAUAGUGGAGCUCACUGUUGAUUUAGAAACUAGUUAUGCAAGCACAGCUAGCGCCACUGUGGGAAAACAUCUGAAUAAUUCAGCUAAUAGAUGGGAACUUGCCCAGAUCGCGGGGACACAGGAAGGGAGCCGCCCUGCCACACGGGGUGCGCUAGGGUUGGGUGACGCCAGCGCGUUCUGGGCGUGCGGGGAGGUUGUGUAAGGAGCAGCAGCUGCCUAGAUGAAUUAUUAUCAUUUUGGUUUUUUGGGGAAAAAAGAAAAAAAGAACCUGGGUUCUGCACUCCCAGGCAGCGACCGCUGACUCAAUCUUGAAAGUGAGUGGGUUUCAGUGUGACACUCAUGUCAUUACCGACCAUGGUUCUGAGCUACACACCACGCACGUUUUAGUAGGUCUUAUUCUAGCCAUGAAGUAUUGAUUUUUAUUUUAAAGAACAUAACUAAGGUCAGGUGUGGUGGUGCUCACCUGCAAUCCCAGCACACAGGAGGCUGAGGCAGGAGGACUGCUGUGAGUUUGCUGCCACCCUGGGCUACAAAGUGAGCUCAAGGCCAGCCUGAACUGCACAGUGAGACUCUUCCUCAAAAAGAUACAAACAAACAAGCGAACAAAACGUCAAAUAACAUACAUAUUAUUUAUGCAUAUUACUAUGCAAUAUAUGAGUUUAGUAAUAAGUGCAUUGCAACAUUUCACAAAUGGCUUUUAGCCAGGAGUGGUAGUGCAUACCUGUAAUUCUAGUAAAAAAAAAAAAAAAUUCUAGCUGAGGCAGGAAGAUUGCUGCAAAUAUGAGACCAACCCAGGCUAUAUAGUGAGUUUAAGGUCAGCCUGAAAUUCAAACAAAGACCAAGCCUCAAAAAAGCAAAAAAAAAAAAAAAAAAAAAAAAAAAUUUCCUCUGGGAGAUUCCCAUUUGCUUGGGGUUCUGUGGAAUUGGCUAGCUGUGUCCUGAAAUGGUCCUUGUCACAUGGGAACCUGCAUCCAUCAUAAGAAAGUGGAGUUUAGUGAUCUCUGAAGCUGUGUGGAGAGACAGAAGCAUAAAGACUCACUCACGUUCAGCUUUAUACUUAACAUUCUGUUUUCAUCAAAAAUGAUAAAAUCCUAUGGAGUUGUGCCAGCCUACUAAGUUUUUUUGCUGCUAUGGUUAGAGUUCUAACAGCUCCUGAGAGCGGAUAACUCAGUGCCUGGAUGCUGAUGUGAGUCACGGAGCUGAGGAGGAAAUGCUUUUCUGCGUGCAUUUAUCUGCGGUCUCACACUUGUUCUGCUUCCGGCUUUUUCCUUCUGCGCUCUCCUGUAUCUCUACGUGCACGAGAGCUCAUGCAUACACAGGCUCACACACCCAUGUAUGCACACAUGAAGUGUGUAUGAUACAUGAUCACACAUGGGCGCAUGCCAUGUGCUCAUGUACACGUAUGUGUAUGCACACCCACAGGCAGUCGUACAUGUACACGUUUUCCCUUCUCAGCCACCUCUUCCAAAUGUCACGCCUGAGGACUUCAAGAGAGGGAAAAACCAGACCCACCCAGCCUGAUGCCUCCACUCUGCUUAGAAAACAAUGCCUCGGGUCUUAGCAAUGUAAGGGGUUGAGUUUUACACCUUAAGCCAGGGCAGGAAGCCUACAGGACAGGCAGGACUGCUGGAAACUUAGUGAGCAGAACUGCAGGGUAAUUUGUGAGUGAAGCAAUCAAAGAAUAACAAACAGGGCAUUGUUAUAUAAACCCUACGUCUGGGGGUCCGUGCUGGUCCCUGAAGAGAACUUGUGACAUUGGGAAGGAUGAGGUGUGGCUGCCACCCCAGGCCUCCUCAGGCUGGCAUAGCCCCAGUGGCUUCUGUGGUCACCCAUGCCUGGCCUCCUCUGCUGUCCCAGUGUGAUGGUGCUUGCCAAAACCCUGAAGUCCCUGCAUGACCGAGCUCUCUGUGGGCACCCCAGACAUCACAUCCGUAUUCCAGAAGGCAGAAAAGAGGAAGAGAAAAAGGAGGUCCUGCUCCUUCCCUUCUGCUUUCAUCAGGCAGCCUUUCUGGAAGUGUCCCUUGACACCCCACCCUGUGCCCACGCUGGGGACAGCCAGGGCUGUGUGGGCCACGCCUUGAGAAAGAGUGGCUGAUAGUGUGGACUUCUCAGCUGGACAUCAAGUUCUGGCCGAGAGAGGGUGGAGGUGGUUAUCUGAAGACAUCUCACUGGCUAUGUCCAGAACAAGUUCCUGCAAAGAGGAAGGAACCCAGUAGUUAGUAUAGCUUUCACAGAACCACAGAUAAAUACUUUCCCCUUUUACCACACAUUUUCAGUUGAGAAACAUCAGUGUUUUGUGAGAUCCUGCCUGAGUCCAGUGAUCUGGGAGCAGUGCCUGGAGGCGGGGGAUUUUCAGGUCCCAUCUUGGAGACAGGGUUGUCACCUGUUCCUGGUCACUGGUAGGCAUGGUGAUAGGCCCCUGAAUUUCCAAUGACACCAGUCAUUUGCUAACCCUUUUAUUGAAAAAAAUUCUCAGUCAUGUAUUCCCUGGGAAUCUGAUUUGUAAAUAAUUACUUGAUGGAAAAUGGAGCUGGCUGGAAAACUCUGAGUACCCAAGGCAGAGACAGACCCCAGAGAGGGGACUUUUGGCUCAGAGGCCAGCACUGGACGGUCCCCCUCAUGGUUUAUCAAGAGGAAGUGAGCCAUUAAUAAGGUCCCCAUUGAAGAAGCGAAGUCCCAGGUUUCAGAUGCAGCCACCACACAGGUGGUCAGCAUCCGAGCCCAGAGCAGCAUGCGAAG